AGGAUCAUUAUUGUACUACGGGGGUGCGAGGGCUGUUGCUGACCUUUCAAAAGGUUGUGCACGCCCGAGCGCUCUCACACAAUCCAUCUCACCCCUUUGUGCAUCACCGCGUGGGUCCCCUUUUCAGGAGGGCUCACGUUUUUACACAAAACUUGAUACAGUGUAGAAUGUUACCUUUUGCGGUCACACGCAAUCAAUACAACUUUCAACAACGGAUCUCUUGGCUCUCGCAUCGAUGAAGAACGCAGCGAAAUGCGAUACGUAAUGUGAAUUGCAGAAUUCAGUGAAUCAUCGAAUCUUUGAACGCACCUUGCGCCCCUUGGCAUUCCGAGGGGCACACCCGUUUGAGUGUCGUGAAAUCAUCAAAAACCUUUUUCUGUUUACCAGAAAAGGGUUUUUGGACUUGGAGGUUUAAUGCUUGCCUUUCACUUUUUGAAAGUGAGCUCCUCUCAAAUAAAUUAGUGGGGUCCGCUUUGCUGGUCCUUGACGUGAUAAGAUGUUUCUACGUUUUGGAUUUAGCACUGUCCCUUUGGAUUCCUGCUCCUAACUGUCCAACGGACAAACGAUGGUGCUCUGGUCGCCGCCGCCUGCAUUGGCGGGGGAGGGCUGGACCCACGAAAGAAAACCUUGACCUCAAAUCGGGUGAGACUACCCGCUGAACUUAAGCAUAUCAAUAAGCGGAGGAAAAGAAACUAACAAGGAUU
rnacentral:rRNA from 1 species